GGAUGUGACAGCUCUGGCUGUCACCCCAUUGCUCGCCAGGGGCAAAAGUAUGUGCGUGCAUGCAGCUGAUCUAGCUGGCUAGGCAGGAGUCCCCUCCUUCCCUCACCCUGCGUGUGCAUUCCUCCCAAGUCUGCACACUCAGUCGAAGAGAGUGACCAUCCUCACGAGAGGAGAACUGUUCUUCAGUCACAGAUAUAUGAGUAGCUGCGCUCCCCUGCCAGAAUCUCUACACACACUCUCAAGAUCCAUUUGCAGGAGAACGUGGGGCAGUCAAGCCCCAAGACUCCACACACCCAAAUGAGGUGCAGCGUGUGGCAGUCUGCCUUUCAU
rnacentral:snRNA from 1 species